rnacentral:lncRNA from 1 species
CCACACACCUCUCAUCUCCCACCCGGGGACUUUUUUGUUAAUAUCAGGAAAUUCUUUCAUCACCCAGGCACAGGAAACCUGGAAGGUCAGUAGAAUUAAAUCCCUGACUCAUGGGAGCCAAGAACUGAUGGAUAGAUGUUUUACCUUUCCUCCUUCCUAAAGCAAGGGUCCUGAGAUGCAAGUCAUCUGAAUUCUCAGGUGGUCUCAGGGGUUUCAGCAACCAUUUGUUUCUAGCAGCAGCAAACUCUCCCUCUCUCCCUGCUUCACUUCCCCAUCCUACCUUCUGCUCCUGGGAUCAUACUCCCCAACAAGAAUUCUCACAUGGGCUCUGCUUUCUGGAGAAUUCAGAUCUCCAGAACUGUGAGAAGUAAAUGGUUAUUGUGUAAGCAACUCAGUCUGUGGUAUUCUGUUAGAGGAGCCCAAACUAAGACACCUUGCUGACUAU